rnacentral:rRNA from 1 species
UACAGAGGUCUCAAGCGUUACUGAGAAUCACUGGGUUUAAAGGGUGCGUAGGUGGUCUGUUAAGUCCGUUGUGAAAGCCCUGGGCUCAACCCAGGAACUGCUUCGGAUACUGGCAGACUUGAGGCUAGUAGAGGUCACUGGAACUGACGGUGGAGCGGUGAAAUGCGUAGAUAUCGUCAGGAACGCCAAUGGUGAAGACAGGUGACUGGGCUAGAUCUGACACUGAGGCACGAAAGCGUGGGGAGCGAACGGG